rnacentral:pre_miRNA from 1 species
AAAUAGAUACCCACCAUGCCUUUUGCUCUUCACUCAGUAAAUAUUCCCUUGUGAAUGUGUAGCAAAAGACAAGAUGGGAAUCCAUUA